CUUAGUACGGCGAGUGAAGCGGCAAAAGCUCAAAUUUGAAAGCUAGCACCUUCGGUGUUCGCGUUGUAAUUUGAAGAUAGUUUCCUUGAGUAGUCCUUUAUCUAUGUUCCUUGGAACAGGACGUCAUAGAGGGUGAGAACCCCGUAUGAUUUUGGAUACUACUCUUUGUGGGAUUCUAUCGAAGAGUCGAGUUGUUUGGGAAUGCAGCUCUAAGUGGGUGGUAAAUUCCAUCUAAAGCUAAAUAUUGGCGAGAGACCGAUAGCGAACAAGUACAGUGAUGGAAAGAUGAAAAGAACUCUGAAGAGAGAGUGAAAAAGUACGUGAAAUUGCUGAAAGGGAAGGGCUUGAGGUCAGACUUGGUGUUUAAUGAUUAUCAGUUCUUCUUGGACUGUGCACUCGUUUUUCACCGGGCCAAUAUCAGUUUUAGCGGUAGAGUACCCCUUGAAAUGUGGCUUCCUUCGGGGAGUGUUAUAGUCUUGGGGAGAUCUACUUGCUGGGACUGAGGACUGCGCUUCGGCAAGGAUAUUGGCGUAAUGACCUUAAGCCGCCCGUCUUGAAC
rnacentral:rRNA from 1 species